rnacentral:tRNA from 1 species
GGGGAUACAGCUUAGUGGUAGAGUAUUUGCCUAGUAUGUGCAAAGCCCUGGGUUUGAUUCCCAGUACCUCCU